CCCCCCGUGGCGUAGUGGUUAACGAGCUCUCUUCGACUCGCACGCCCAAGAUAACUACAUUCAUCUCUUUGACUCGCGAUUCGUAACGCGAGAGAGAUCCCGAGUUCAAACCUCGGCGGGGGGG